CCAGUGAUAAGGAAAACUACGGAGUCUGGGAAGUAAAAGGAAUGAAAUCACGUUUACAGAGGUCCAUAGCACAGUUGUUUCAGAGAAAUUGUUGUUACUUGUCGUUCACCUACUUCUCUUCUGCAAGAUGGAUUCAUUGAAAACAGACACUUGAAGCUGUUAUAAUGAACUGAACAGUUUAGAAGUGUUUGGAGAAGUCACAACUGAAUUUGUACCCCGAUUUCAAUAAUUGCUACAUCUGCAACUUUAGGAAGAAGAAGAAGAAGAGGAAGAAGAAGAAGAAGAGGAAGAAGAAGAAG